rnacentral:sRNA from 2 species
UUUUAAACCCGACAGGAGUGGCACCCUUUUUUGAUAGAAAUAAUUAAUAUUAAAUAAUAAUUGCAAAAAAGGUAAAGCAUAUGGCGGGACUGCUA